rnacentral:rRNA from 1 species
GACGAACGCUGGCGGCGUGCUUAACACAUGCAAGUCGAACGGAAAGGCCCUGCUUUUGUGGGGUGCUCGAGUGGCGAACGGGUGAGUAACACGUGAGUAACCUGCCCUUGACUUUGGGAUAACUUCAGGAAACUGGGGCUAAUACCGGAUAGGAGCUCCUGCUGCAUGGUGGGGGUGGGAAAGUUUCGGCGUUUGGGGAUGGACUCGCGGCUUAUCAGCUUGUUGGUGGGGUAGUGGCUUACCAAGGCUUUGACGGGUAGCCGGCCUGAGAGGGUGACCGGCCACAUUGGGACUGAGAUACGGCCCAGACUCCUACGGGAGGCAGCAGUGGGGAAUAUUGCACAAUGGGCGGAAGCCUGAAGCAGCAACGCCGCGUGCGGGAUGACGGCCUUCGGGUUGUAAACCGCUUUCGCCUGCGACGAAGCGUGAGUGACGGUAAUGGGUAAAGAAGCACCGGCUAACUACGUG